CAGUAGCCGCGGGAAUACGUAGGGUGCAAGCGUUAAUCGGAAUUACUGGGCGUAAAGCGUGCGCAGGCGGUUAUAUAAGACAGAUGUGAAAUCCCCGGGCUCAACCUGGGAACUGCAUUUGUGACUGUAUAGCUAGAGUACGGCAGAGGGGGAUGGAAUUCCGCGUGUAGCAGUGAAAUGCGUAGAUAUGCGGAGGAACACCGAUGGCGAAGGCAAUCCCCUGGGCCUGUACUGACGCUCAUGCACGAAAGCGUGGGGAGCAAACAGGAUUAGAUACCCCUGUAGUCCCUGUCUCUUAUAA
rnacentral:rRNA from 1 species